rnacentral:precursor_RNA from 17 species
UGUUAUUAUGGUCCAAAUGGCUGCCUUCUGUGCUGUAACCAUUUUAUGAUUCUGUGAUAUGUGUUUGUAGUUACAAUAGAACCAUAGAAACGUUACGGCACAGAAAGCGGACCAUUCAGCUCAUCGUAUCUG